AUGCUUGGGAACUUGCCUUUGCGAGGGGGAUAACAGUUGGAAACGACUGCUAAUACCGCAUAAUGUCUUCGGACCAAACGGGGCUUCGGCUCCGGCGCAAAGAGAGGCCCAAGUGAGAUUAGCUAGUUGGUAAGGUAACGGCUUACCAAGGCGACGAUCUCUAGCUGUUCUGAGAGGAAGAUCAGCCACACUGGGACUGAGACACGGCCCAGACUCCUACGGGAGGCAGCAGUGGGGAAUAUUGCACAAUGGGGGAAACCCUGAUGCAGCCAUGCCGCGUGUGUGAAGAAGGCCUUCGGGUUGUAAAGCACUUUCAGUUGUGAGGAAAAGUUAGUAGUUAAUACCUGCUAGCCGUGACGUUAACAACAGAAGAAGCACCGGCUAACUCCGUGCCAGCAGCCGCGGUAAUACGGAGGGUGCGAGCGUUAAUCGGAAUUACUGGGCGUAAAGCGCACGCAGGCGGUUUGUUAAGCUAGAUGUGAAAGCCCCGGGCUCAACCUGGGAUGGUCAUUUAGAACUGGCAGACUAGAGUCUUGGAGAGGGGAGUGGAAUUCCAGGUGUAGCGGUGAAAUGCGUAGAUAUCUGGAGGAACAUCAGUGGCGAAGGCGACUCCCUGGCCAAAGACUGACGCUCAUGUGCGAAAGUGUGGGUAGCGAACAGGAUUAGAUACCCUGGUAGUCCACACCGUAAACGCUGUCUACUAGCUGUGUGUGUCUUUAAGACGUGCGUAGCGAAGCUAACGCGCUAAGUAGACCGCCUGGGGAGUACGGCCGCAAGGUUAAAAACUCAAAUGAAUUUGACGGGGGGCCCGCACAAGCGGUUGGAGCAUGUGGUUUAAAUUCGAUG
rnacentral:rRNA from 1 species